CUCUUGGUUCUUUAUUUUCAUGUGUCAGUAUUUAUGCCUAUAUGUGUAUGUGUCUGUUAGUAUGUAAAUGUGUGUGUGUCAGUAUGUGUGUAUAUUUGUGUGUGUAUCUGUGUCCUUUUGUAUCAGUACGUGUGUUUGUGUCUGUGUGUGUAUUCCUGUGGGCAGGAUUUGGAGGGGGGAGUGGACACGGGCCCCCAGGGGCCCAGAACCUGAGCUGUGUUAGGGGCCCCAACAUUUCUGAUGGCAGCCCUGCAGACCUCCAUGAAGCACAGUCAUUAACCCUGUUAUUCUUAGUUUUUCUCAGCUGGAACUGGUAUCUCUUGUGUCAGACAGACUUCCCAUGGAAUAUAGCCAUUAGCCCUGGUGCUGGCAUUUCCUUUUUCCUCAGGACUUUAACAUACAAGCAUACUUCUGAUUAUGUAUAUCCAUUAGCUGCAAGCUUUUAUCCAACUCCAAUACUG